AUGGCGUCCAAGUCUAGCAUCACCCCCCUCCUCUUGGCCGCCGUCCUGGUCUCCGUCUUCGCCGCUGCUGCGGCCACAGGCCCAUAUUGCUACCCGGGGAUGGGCCUUCCGAGAAACCCGCUUGAAGGCUGCCGGGAGUAUGUCACACAGCAAAUCUGCGGCGUCGGCAUUGUCGGGCCGCCGGUGUCCACCGAGCCGGGGAACACCCCAUGGGAUCGGUGCUGCAGGGAGCUUUCCAAUGCUUCGCAGCAUUGCCGGUGUGAGGCGUUGUGCUACUUCAUAGGGCGGAGGUCUGAUCCGAAUUCCGGCGUGCUCAAGGACCUCCCCGAGUGCCCCAAGGAGGCCCAGAGGGACUUCGCCAAGGUGCUUGUCAUGCCGGGGCACUGCAACAUGAUGACCGUUCACAACGCCCCAUACUGCCUCGGUUUGGACUUUUUUUGCGGGGGUAAAAAGGAGUGUAUUACUCAAGAGCCUGAAACAUCAUCCCUACACAGACUAGAGAUGUUAAGCGGGCCCGAGCGGAGCCAGACCACAGUUCGGUCCUCCGAUCGGUCCUUUGAACACUAG
rnacentral:rRNA from 1 species